UAGGAAUGCUUUCACGGUGAUUAAUUGUGAGAGACGAAACUUUACUCAUUUGCUUGGAGAUGAAUAGGAGUUGUCACAUCAUGAGGUUUUCUUUUAUUUUGUUCAUGGAAGAGAAGGAUUUUUACAUUCCAUUAGUUGGGAAGCAUUGAAUACCAACGACUGCAAGGAGGACCAUUCGAGUUGCUUUUGGAGCUUUGGAUGCACCGGUUUCAACCACUUUGAGGAGAGAGAAGGUUUUCUUUUUUUUGGCAAGGUAGAAGAUGUAAAAGUCAAACGUUCUUGGGAUUUGUUUCACCAUUUUGUUGUUUAAUCAAGUUGCUUUCCUAGGGAAUGGAAUAAAGUUCAUGGUCAUUGCCUUUGAAGAAAGAGAAUGAAAUGGAAUUUGGUGAAAGGGUGUCUCGGCAAAGUGGUUUUGUAGAAGAAGAAAAGUUUUUUUUCUUUACUCUUUGGUAGCAAGGAUUUAACUCAACUCUUGGGAGGAGAGAGGAAUUAAUUUUCUUCACUUUGAAGCCUUGGGAGGUCACGUGAUUUGAUGGAGGAAAACCAUAUUCACUCAUUUCUUUGCUUUAAAAUAUUUGGCAUAGUAUAUUGAGUUGUGUUUCAUUUUUUUAGUUUAGUGUUGCAUUUAAAUAAUUUUAAUUGUGCUAGAUAAUUGUUUGUUGCAUUGUUGGGGCCUAGUAUUUUAUUUUAUUUUGUCUUAAUGUUAUCUUGUAUUUGUAGUAGUGUUACUUUAAUUACCAUGCUAGCUUAAAUUAGUUUCUUUGCAUAUGUGUUUUUAUUGAGUUCUUUAAUUUUUGCAAAACCUUUUCAAAACCCCCCCUUCGUG
rnacentral:lncRNA from 1 species